rnacentral:piRNA from 1 species
GAGGUAAAGGUAGCCUGGAAAAUGG